ACAUGCAGACACUAACCUGUGUAUUCUGUUCCAGAAGCCACUGAAGAAGUUGUUGAUGCAUUUUCCCAGUCUUUUUCUCCAUUUCGACUGCCACAACGACUUGGAGAUAAGAAGCCUUCUACAGACUCUGACCUAAAUAUUUUACGCCUAAGAAAUCAAACAGUUAAAUUUCUCAUUCUGCAUACCAAAGACAAAAGAAGACACUGGAAAGAGUACACAUUUGAGAAGAAAGGUCUGGCAAUCUACUUCCAUAA